AUGCGGACCGGAACCGGCACCGGUAGUGGGCCGGGGGUCGGGACCUUCCGCUCCAGCGCCUGGGCCCGGGCUUUGCCCGCUCCCCUGGGCCUGGACCCGCUUCCAGACCCUUCCCCGGUCCCGGUCCCGGUCCCGGUCCCGGUCCCGGUCCCGGUCCCGAUCCCGGUCCCGCUUCCUUCCCCCUUCCCCGCUCCCGGUCCCGCUCCCGCUCCUCACCUGCAUCUCUCCCGUCUCCGCCUCUCCACUUCCGCCUUCCCCUCCUCAGCCAAUCGCCUGCCUCAGCGCCCGCGCUUCAGCCAAUCAAAACGCGCUCCGCCCAAAGGUCCCGCCUUCCCACCAAUCAGAAGGCGGGAGCGCCGCGGCAGCGCCACGUGCCGGCAUUUCGAUUGGCUGGAAGGGAAAGGGGCGGGGUCUUCAGGGAAUAAUCGGAGAUGGCGGAGGAGUUCGGGGGUCCCAGUCCCGAUCCCGGUCCCAAUCCUGAUCCCAAUCCUGGUUUUAAUCCCGGUCCCGGUCUCAAUCCCGGCCCCAAUCCCGGUCCCAAGGUGCCCCAGCACUGAGCCGGGAUGCCCCGGGAUCCCCCUCAAGCCGUCCCUCAGGGUCCCGCAGGAGUCCCCGGGAUGCUCCCGAGCAGAUCCCGAUCCCUGCGGGGAUCCCCCGUUUCCCCCAGAGCAGAUCCCAGACCCCUUGGGAACCACUGGAUACCCCAGCACAGAGCCAGGAUCCCGCUGGGACCCCCAGCUGCUCCCAGAGCAGAUCCAAGGACCCUCGGGGACCACUGGACAGAGCCGGAAUCCCCGUGGGACCCUCAGCAGCGGCCCCAAACCGGGACCCCAGGUCCCUUGGGGACCCCUGGGAGGGGUCCUGGAGCAGCUCCCAGAUCCCUCAGACACCGAUAAUCCCCGACAGAACCAGGAUCCCUCGGGAUCAUCCCGCUGGAUUAACUUGGGGGAGCAGCUCCGGCCCCCGGCAGCGUCACCGGGGGUCCCGCGGUGUCCCCGCGUCCCUGCGGGGUUGGGAGUCCCCCCUCGGGGACACAUCCCAUGGCGACACGGGCACAUCCCGGUGACCUCGCGGGGAGCAGCGGGAGCAGGAACCGGUCCGGCAGCCGCGGGUUUCGGCGGAUCCCACCGGGAGCCGCAAUUCCCUCCGCUCCCGGUGCCCGACCCUCGUGCCCCGGAGCCACCGCGCCCCGAGCGCUGCCACGGCCGGCCCGCGGCGGUGACGGUCACCCAGGGCCACCCAGGGCCACCCAGGGCCACCCGGGGCCACCCAGGGCCACCCGCCCAGGGCUGGCACCGCUCCCCGUCAUGA
rnacentral:lncRNA from 13 species